rnacentral:rRNA from 1 species
GACGAACGCUGGCGGCGUGCUUAACACAUGCAAGUCGAACGGAAAGGCCCUGCUUUUGUGGGGUGCUCGAGUGGCGAACGGGUGAGUAACACGUGAGUAACCUGCCCUUGACUUUGGGAUAACUUCAGGAAACUGGGGCUAAUACCGGAUAGGAGCUCCUGCGGCAUGGUGGGGGUUGGAAAGUUUCGGCGGUUGGGGAUGGACUCGCGGCUUAUCAGCUUGUUGGUGGGGUAGUGGCUUACCAAGGCUUUGACGGGUAGCCGGCCUGAGAGGGUGACCGGCCACAUUGGGACUGAGAUACGGCCCAGACUCCUACGGGAGGCAGCAGUGGGGAAUAUUGCACAAUGGGCGGAAGCCUGAUGCAGCAACGCCGCGUGCGGGAUGACGGCCUUCGGGUUGUAAACCGCUUUCGCCUGUGACGAAGCGUGAGUGACGGUAGUGGGUAAAGAAGCACCGGCUAACUACGUG